rnacentral:lncRNA from 1 species
CUGGCUGCGGGGAUCAUCGUGGGGAGGGCUGGUGGGCGUCCCUGUGAGGAAAGCCCGUGGGGAGGCCACAGUUACUUUUGCCUGGGUAGUCCUCCCCCAACAUUUGAGUUCACACUGCAGAAUUUAGAGUCAAACACCAUCCCCCGAAAGCAGAAUGCACUGCUCAUGGUUGAUGCUCCGGGGCCUCACUUUCCCAUCUGCAGCUCCUCUGCCCCAGGAGGCCAAAGCCCAGUGCCUUCCCUACUCAGAGAGAGGACCCCCGUCCUGCAGGUCCCCACCUCAAACUCAAAGGGACCAUCCCCCAAACAGAGGCUCGGUCAGGACUGUCCUGAGGAAGUGAGAGCCUCUCAGCUCCUCUCCGGCCUCCAAGGACACCAGGCUAUUUUAGGACCUGCGGCCCAUUUCCAGGGCUAAUUUUGCCCUUCCCUGAAGGUCCCAGGGGACCAGAGAGGAAGAGAGACUGGGCAUGGUUAGGAACCACCCCCCCGGCACCCUGAGUGCUUCCUCGCGUUGCGGGGACAGCUCCUCUGUCACCAGAUAGAGUCAGAGCCAGUCCUCUCCACUCCCUAACGCUUGUGUUCCCUCCUUCGCGGUAGGCCAGGGCACUCUCCCUAAAGGCAGCUGAAUGGGCUUAACACAAACCCUUUUCCUUCAGCACCCAUUGACAAGUGAGUUUUAGUCCAGUGGGGAGAACUGAGGCUUUGACAGUGUUCGAAAAUGCUUUCUUUAAUAAGCCGAACUCUGGAAUCCCGUAGUCACAGACAACAUGCGAAUGCAGAGGGACAGAACCAGGGAGAGCUGAGAAACAGAUCCCCACCCCCCAGCUUCAACUUACUUUUUUUUUUUUUUUUUUUUUGAGACAGAGUCUUGCUCUGUCGCCCAGGCUGGAGUGCAGUGGCUUGAUCUUGGCUCAUUGCAACCUCCACCUCCCAGGUUCAAGCCACGCUCCUGCCUCAGCCUCCCAAGUAGCUGGGAUUACAGGCACCCCCCACCACGCCCAGCUAAUUUUUGUAUUUUUAGUAGAGACGGGGUUUCAUCAUGUUGGCCAGGAUGGUCUCUAUCUCCUGACCUCGUGAUCUGCCCACCUCGGCCUCCCAAAGUGCUGGGAUUACAGGCGUGAGCCACCGUGCCCAGCCUCAACUUACUUUUUAAACAUUUUCACAAUGCCCAUGACCUAGGUAAGGAGAGAGCAAGUUCAAGGCCUUCCCAGAUAGACAUCCUUCCACUCCCCUCCCGCGCUGUCCUCUGCCCAGCUGGGGUUUGCAAUCUGCACCACUUAGGCACCGGUUCCAAAGUGUCGAACUGUUUUUCACUGCUUUGAAAUUAAUCUGGAUUAUUAAUAUUAACAGAAUGGAUUCUAAUAUGUUAGCUUGUGUGUUUUAGCCGAUGUCCACUUGUAUAAGCACAAGGAGAGAAAAGCUGCUCAGAUCAGAGGGAAAGAGACAGAUACCAACAUAACAGAGGGGGUGGGGGGUUCCAGGAUUCUCUCAGACACAGCCCACCUGCUCCACAAAAAAGCAACAGACUAAAUUCCCUUUGAAGUCCUUCCUGAGACGUAGGCCCCAAACUGGGACAACUUUCCCAACAUUGAUUUCUGAUGAUGGCGCUUGUCAUUGACCAAGAUAAAUAUCACGGGCUUUCUCUCAAAAUUAGUUUUAAGCUUCAAAAGUAAGCCACUUUUUUCCUGACAUUAACUUACCAUACCACUUUCCAU